rnacentral:tRNA from 1 species
GCUCCCUUCGUCUAGAGGCCCAGGACGUCCGGUUCUCAGCCGGAAAACACAGGUUCGAUUCCUGUAGGGAGCGCCA